CCCCAGUUAAGCUGUUUUUAUACAACAGAAGCACAGCUGGUUAAAAGGGACUAAAUUGGUCAAGCAAGUGAGAAAGGGCAAAUGAAACUGGUUGCAGAAAGAACCUAUAAUCAAGAUGAGUUAGAAAAUGAGAUUUCCAGGGAGCAUGGCAUUUUCAGACUAAAAGAGUCAAAAGAACUUGCAGAUAAGACUGCUAAACUGAUCGGAGGGCCUUUGAGGAAAUAUCGCCAUAUACAAAGAUGGCUAAAGAAGAGUAACACCAGAACUUACGGAGAAGACUGCUUUGGGGAGCCUACGAAGAAUUAUCCUGAUAAGUAGAGGUGUCUGGACAGCCAUGAAUGUAGGACUCAAUCUCUUCAUGGGCAAAGAGCAGAAGAUGGCACUCAAGAGGAAAAGCAUCAUUUUCUUGACUUCCCUCUGGUCUGGAUUGUAUCCCACUUCUACUUUGGCCAGGAAUGGAUAGGAUAUAACCUAUGCAACACACCCACAGCUGUCCGGAUGUAAAUAUUGGAUAAGAUUAAGUGUUCCUUUAUCCAAAGAACUCAUUGUAGCCUAAGAAGCUUGGUUAAAAAUUGAGUAAAAUUCUAAAACACAUAGUUUCAGAACUUCCAGAAGAAACACAGCAAAAGGUGUUCACUUAGAAUCAGCCUGGUUCCAAAAUGCACUUUUUUUUUGGUUGCUACGUUUGCAGGAUAAGCCCAGUAGAUGGAAGGAAUACUACAGAAUACAUUCUGUGGAGUUG